GAGCAGGUGCUCCGAUUGGUAAAGGGAAUGGUCUGUAAAAUCAUUUGUGUAAACUGUAAAAGGUUCGAUUCCUUUACUGCUCA
rnacentral:tRNA from 1 species